rnacentral:ribozyme from 1 species
UGCCCAGCAACUCCUAUCCCAACCUCUGCGUGGUACCGCCCGGAAACUACGAGCAACCUUAGGGAAGAUCGGGUAACAAACUCCGGUGGAACUCGUAAGAUGACCGGGAAGG